rnacentral:rRNA from 1 species
UGGGGCCUACGGGGGGCAGCAGUGGGGAAUAUUGGGCAAUGGGCGCAAGCCUGACCCAGCAACGCCGCGUGAAGGAAGAAGGCUUUCGGGUUGUAAACUUCUUUUCUCAGGGACGAAGAAAGUGACGGUACCUGAGGAAUAAGCCACGGCUAACUACGUGCCAGCAGCCGCGGUAAUACGUAGGUGGCAAGCGUUAUCCGGAUUUACUGGGUGUAAAGGGCGUGUAGGCGGGACUGCAAGUCAGAUGUGAAAACCACGGGCUCAACCUGUGGCCUGCAUUUGAAACUGUAGUUCUUGAGUACUGG